rnacentral:rRNA from 1 species
GCAUGCCUUACACAUGCAAGUCGAACGGCAGCACGGGGGUAACCCUGGUGGCGAGUGGCGAACGGGUGAGUAAUACAUCGGAACGUGUCCUGUAGUGGGGGAUAGCCCGGCGAAAGCCGGAUUAAUACCGCAUACGAUCUACGGAAGAAAGCGGGGGAUCCUUCGGGACCUCGCGCUAUAGGGGCGGCCGAUGGCAGAUUANCUAGUUGGUGGGGUAAAGGCCUACCNAGGCGACGAUCUGUAGCUGGUCUGAGAGGACGACCAGCCACACUGGGACUGAGACACGGCCCAGACUCCUACGGGAGGCAGCAGUGGGGAAUUUUGGACAAUGGGGGAAACCCUGAUCCAGCAANGCCGCGUGUGUGAAGAAGGCCUUCGGGUUGUACAGCACUUUUGUCCACAAAGAAAGCUUCUGCCCU